rnacentral:tRNA from 1 species
AGACCUGUAGCUCAAUUGGUAGAGCAGCGGACUCUUAAUCCGUUUGUUGGGGGUUCAAGUCCCCCCAGGUCUA